rnacentral:rRNA from 1 species
UACGGAGGGUGCAAGCGUUAUCCGGAUUCACUGGGUUUAAAGGGUGCGUAGGUGGGUUGGUAAGUCCGUGGUGAAAUCCCCAAGCUUAACUUGGGAACUGCCGUGGAUACUAUCAAUCUUGAAUAUCGUGGAGGUAAGCGGAAUAUGUCAUGUAGCGGUGAAAUGCUUAGAUAUGACAUAGAACACCAAUUGCGAAGGCAGCUUACUACAGGAACAUUGACACUGAUGCACGAAAGCGUGGGGAUCAAACAGG